rnacentral:ncRNA from 1 species
GCCGCCUGGGAAGUACGAGCGCAAGCUUAAAACUCAAAGGAAUAGGCGGGAAUUUGCACAAGCAGUGGAUCAUGUGGUUCAAUUCGACACUGAGCGAGGAACCUCACCAGGGCUUGAAAUUCUAGUGUAAGCCUUAGGAAACUAAGGCCCCCGCAAGGCACUAGGACAGGUGCUGCACGGCUGUCGUCAGCUCGUCAUGUGAAUGGUUUCCUUAAGUGGAUUAACGAGCGCAACCCCUAUUGUCUGUUAUACGUGUCAGACGAGACUGCUCCGGUAACGGAGAGGAAGGUGGGGAUGACGUCAAGUCAGCGUGGCCCUUUGAUGCCCUGGGCUACACACAUGAUACAAUGGGUGUUACAAUGGGUCGCUAAGCCGCGAGGCGGAGCUAAUCCCAUCAAAGGCACCCUCAGUUCGGAUAGGAGGCUGAAACUUGCCUCCUUGAAGCUGGAAUUGCUAGUAAUCGCUGAUCAGAACGCAGCGGUGAAUACGUUCUCAAAUUUUGCACUCACAAUAAAAGCGCCUGGCAGGUUAUAUUUCUAAGCGGUUGAAAUCCGUU